CUUGCAAUGACUUCUCUUCUCUUCUCUGAUGACGUGUUUACUAGAGCGAGAGCGGCACAACCUGUCAAUCACAUGACAUUACAGCAAUAGGCGAGUUUUACUCGAAUAUACAUCACAAAAAGGAAGAAAAGACUUUCUUCUGUUUCAUGUCAACUCUAAGGUCUGAUGUCACACGUUUUUGUUUUCACACAUUUUUUUCACACAUUGAAGUCUGUCACUAGCUUUAAAAAGAAGACGAGUGCUGACUACAUCUACAACGAACAAGAUCAUUUAAUGUUUGACGGUUAAAGAGCAGAAAUGUCUGAUGGUAUUUAUGAAGAUGUGAUCAGGACUGAGUCUAAGAGAAUUAACACAGAGAGAAUGGAGAUGAUAGUGGAAAUCUAUGAGAGUGCAGAACAUGUGAGAGAUCAUGACUUCAGGACAGAGACAAACACACACCAACCACUUCAGCGUACAGAAAGUGAUUGUGUGAAGAUCAGAAGCUCCAGAGCAGCUGCAGUGUGUUUGGUGCUGCUGUGUGUUCUUCUGCUGACUGCAGUCAUAGUGCUGUGUGUCACGUUCACUCUAGAGAGACGACAGUUAAUAUCCAAGAA